GUGCUCACUUUGGCAGCACAUAUACUAAUACUGGAGCAACACAUAGUGGAUUUGCAUGACCCCUGUGCAAGGACAACAAAUAAAUUUGUGAAGCAAUCUAUGGCUUU